rnacentral:rRNA from 1 species
CCCUUAGAUGUUCUGGGCCGCACGCGCGCUACACUGACGAAGUCAGCGAGCAUGUCCUACGCCGACAGGUGCGGGGAAUCUUGUCAAACUUCGUCGUGAUGGGGAUUGAUUAUUGAAAUUCUUGAUCAUCAACGAGGAAUUCCUAGUAAGCGCAAGUCAGCAGCUUGCGUUGAUUACGUCCCUGCCCUUUGUACACACCGCCCGUCGCUACUACCGAUUUAAUGGUUUAGUGAGAUCUUCGGAUUGGCGCCACUGCGGCUCAGCAAUGGGCUCGGUGGAUGCCGAAAAGUUGAUCAAACUUGAUCAUUUAGAGGAAGUAAAAGUCGUAACA